GCACAGAGAGAUAAGGAGCUCAUCAUAACUGAGAGAGGGGGGACCGUUAUUUCCAAGCAGCUGCUGCGAGCUGGUCUAGGUGAACAAACUGAGGCUGAAGAGGAUUUGAGGCCACACAGAGCAUGAAUGGUAGAGCAGGGAUUGGAACUAAAUCCUGCUGACUCCGGCUCACUGGGUUCUGGAUGCACUGGGGAGGCCAGUGAGUCUAUCUGCCCUGGGGGAGAGCUGUGAGCAGGGCAGAUGUGUGCUGGCCUGCUCAGACCUUCAGCAAUGUGGCACAGCCCUCAUAAUGGUCUGGAGAUGCAAAGUUUGAACUCACAUUUCCCAGAGGACUUUGGAUCGACGUCAAGGGACAUGGGACGAUAUGCCAAGAACCAACAACAGUGGAGAAGGAUUUCACAUUGUAAUAUGAAGUUCAUUUAUGAACAGGUAGCCUAGUUUUUGGAAACAGAUAUUUCUGAAGGAAGACAUUUUAGUAAAAACUGAAGAAGUGUGA